GACGAACGCUGGCGGCGUGCCUAACACAUGCAAGUCGAACGGAGUUGCCCUUCGGGACAACUUAGUGGCGAACGGGUGAGUAACGCGUGAGGAACCUGCCUUUCAGUGGGGGACAACAGUUGGAAACGACUGCUAAUACCGCAUAAUGUUAUUUGGGGGCAUCCUCGAAUAACCAAAGAUUUAUUGCUGAAAGAUGGCUUCGCGUCUGAUUAGCUAGAUGGCGGGGUAACGGCCCACCAUGGCGACGAUCAGUAGCCGGUCUGAGAGGAUGAACGGCCACAUUGGGACUGAGAUACGGCCCAGACUCCUACGGGAGGCAGCAGUGGGGAAUAUUGGGGCAAAUGGGGGGAAACCCUGACCCAGCAACGCCGCGUGAAGGAAGAAGGCC
rnacentral:rRNA from 1 species